rnacentral:tRNA from 1 species
GCCGCGGUGGUGGAACGGUAGACACGCUGGACUCAAAAUCCAGUGAUCGCAAGGACAUGAGAGUUCGAUUCUCUCCCGCGGCACCA